UACAGAGGGUGCGAGCGUUAAUCGGAAUUACUGGGCGUAAAGCGCACGUAGGUGGCGACGUAAGUCGGGUGUGAAAGCCCCGGGCUCAACCUGGGAAUUGCAUUCGAGACUGCAUUGCUGGAGUACGGAAGAGGAAGGCGGAAUUCCCGGUGUAGAGGUGAAAUUCGCAGAUAUCGGGAGGAACACCGGUGGCGAAGGCGGCGACCUGGGUCGACACUGACGCUGAGGCGCGAAAGCGUGGGGAGCAAACAGG
rnacentral:rRNA from 1 species